AUGUUAAUAUCACGGAGAUACCAACUACACCCAGCCUCUGCAACAAUGCAAUAUCGUAAAGACAUUACAAGUGCACAUAGCCAAAAGAUAAAAAAGAAGAAGGAAAAAGAAAAAUCCCGCUAUAGUGAUGAAUUCCUUAUUAGCUGUAGCACGAAUCACCAGCUAGAAAACACACAAGUCCACAUUCUCCAAAAGCAACGCCUUCAAGAAGAAAAUAGUGAGAAGCACCGUCAUCACCUGAUGCUAGAUUUUAGGUUUUCACACUUGAGAAGAUCCGCCCUCUCAAAACAAUGCCUUCAACAAGGUCACUGCCAGGCACAACCAAUUAAAGCCAGGCCUUGGGUGUUCACCCUGGAAGCUAAGAUUUUGCAACGACGGACGUCACACACACCACGAGGCCCGGGCGAAGUGGAGGAUCCCACUGCCGCCAGACGCCGCCAGGCUGCGUAA
rnacentral:rRNA from 1 species